CGGCGGACGGGUGAGUAAUGCCUAGGAAUCUGCCUGGUAGUGGGGGACAACGUUCCGAAAGGGGCGCUAAUACCGCAUACGUCCUACGGGAGAAAGUGGGGGAUCUUCGGACCUCACGCUAUCAGAUGAGCCUAGGUCGGAUUAGCUAGUUGGUGAGGUAAAGGCUCACCAAGGCGACGAUCCGUAACUGGUCUGAGAGGAUGAUCAGUCACACUGGAACUGAGACACGGUCCAG
rnacentral:rRNA from 1 species